rnacentral:rRNA from 1 species
GUGGGGAAUAUUGGACAAUGGGCGAAAGCCUGAUCCAGCCAUGCCGCGUGUGUGAAGAAGGUCUUCGGAUUGUAAAGCACUUUAAGUUGGGAGGAAGGGCAUUAACCUAAUACGUUAGUGUUUUGACGUUACCAACAGAAUAAGCACCGGCUAACUUCGUGCCAGCAGCCGCGGUAAUACGAAGGGUGCAAGCGUUAAUCGGAAUUACUGGGCGUAAAGCGCGCGUAGGUGGUUCAGCAAGUUGGAGGUGAAAUCCCCGGGCUCAACCUGGGAACUGACUCCAAAACUACUGAGCUAGAGUACGGUAGAGGGUAGUGGAAUUUCCUGUGUAGCGGUGAAAUGCGUAGAUAUAGGAAGGAACACCAGUGGCGAAGGCGACUACCUGGACUGAUACUGACACUGAGGUGCGAAAGCGUGGGGAGCAAACAGGAUUAGAAACCCGUGUAGUCC